rnacentral:rRNA from 1 species
AACAGGAUUAGAUACCCUGGUAGUCCACGCCGUAAACGAUGUCGACUUGGAGGCUGUUCCCCUGAGGAGUGGCUUCCGGAGCUAACGCGUUAAGUCGACCGCCUGGGGAGUACGGCCGCAAGGUUAAAACUCAAAUGAAUUGACGGGGGCCCGCACAAGCGGUGGAGCAUGUGGUUUAAUUCGAUACAACGCGAAGAACCUUACCUACUCUUGACAUCCAGAGAACUUUCCAGAGAUGGAUUGGUGCCUUCGGGAACUCUGAGACAGGUGCUGCAUGGCUGUCGUCAGCUCGUGUUGUGAAAUGUUGGGUUAAGUCCCGCAACGAGCGCAACCCUUAUCCUUUGUUGCCAGCGAUUCGGUCGGGAACUCAAAGGAGACUGCCGGUGAUAAACCGGAGGAAGGUGGGGAUGACGUCAAGUCAUCAUGGCCCUUACGAGUAGGGCUACACACGUGCUACAAUGGCGCAUACAAAGAGAAGCGACCUCGCGAGAGCAAGCGGACCUCAUAAAGUGCGUCGUAGUCCGGAUCGGAGUCUGCAACUCGACUCCGUGAAGUCGGAAUCGCUAGUAAUCGUGGAUCAGAAUGCCACGGUGAAUACGUUCCCGGGCCUUGUACACACCGCCCGUCACACCAUGGGAGUGGGUUGCAAAAGAAGUAGGUAGCUUAACCUUCGGGAGGGCGCUUACCACUUUGUGAUUCAUGACUGGGGUGAAGUCGUAACAAGGUAGC